AGGUGGUCCUCUUGCCAUCUAUCCUGGCUGAGCAUGCCAUGCCACGUGGGUGCAAGCUUAAGGUGCUUUUGCUGCCCUAGGCAUGUCAAGGAACGGAGGAGGGCAGCUUUUCUUUUUGCAGGUAUCUUCUGGGCAGCCUCCGGAGUCAAAUGAAGAUUUGAGGUACCUUGAGGAGGUUUGUAGCCAAAGCUUGGAAACGGCAGCACCGAAGCACGCGUGGAGAACAUCUCAGCGUCCACAUCCAACCACCGAUGGAUUUUAUCCUCUCAUCUUCCAAAAGCUAAGUGUCGGGGCCAGUGGCUGGGAGAAGGGGAAAAACCUUUACUAUCACAGAGGGCAAUUUGAUGUCAGCUUAGCGUAGAGGUCUGUAGUGGGACCGGCUCUCUGGAAGAAAAGGGAGAGGGUUUCUCCUCAGCCUGACCAGAGCCUUUGACGGGCAGGGCAGUUCCGACCCAUCUCAGGAUUCUCAUGAACUUUGCGUUGUCCGCCUUCCUCGGCCCGACGCUGUCACGGAUCUUUCCCCUGAGGAGCUCGCCUUCAGGUCCGGAGCUAUCGCCACGGUCACCUGGCCGUCGGCUUCCUUCUCUAGGCUCGCCGAGCCUCUCGAGCAUCCUCUUAACUGCUGUGGCAGUAACUUCUUUUAACAAGUUACAUUUCAUCAUCACGUUCUAUCGUCAUAGGGCUUUCUUUCCUUUGGCAUCAUCAGCCUCUGGCUCAUCUUGCAGUAGGAAUCUUGGGUCCCUAAGGGGAAAGUGCCAGGCAGUGGCCACUUGUCUCUGUGUUAUGUCACCUGUGUCUAUGUUAUGUUGUCCGUGUCUGUGUUAUGUAGUCUGUGUCCAUUGUCUUCCGUGUCAUAGGCCUUUGUUACGUCCCGAUGCUUUAUCGGCACUAUUCUGUGCCAUAUAGGCCGUAUUUUACUCACGUUCCUUCCCGGAUAUCGCUUAUUCUGGCAUCUUUACAUUUUUACUCUUUGAGACUGGAAUGUCUCCAACAGACAAGAUGUUCUCAUCCAUCUUCCUUUUCACUACCAGCUUUGGUAGUGCCUUUUUUUCCACGCCAUUCUCUUGGACUUUCUGAGGGAGCGUCUUACACCCUCCUCAGGUGACUGCAGCAGUUCUAUAGGUUCCAUCUUCUCAAAGGGCAUAGGGCUCAAGAAUUAAUCUUUCAGAGAAUUAUCUGAAGUCCUGGCUUACAUUGUAUGUGCCUAUGUUGGCUUAUAUUGUAUGUACCUGUAUUGUGUGUACCUAUGCUGGCUUAUACUGUAUGUACUUACAUUGUAUGUGCCUAU